rnacentral:lncRNA from 13 species
AAAGAAUCCAAAUGCCUGUCCAUGAGCUUUUAUUUUCUUCAAAGAACUUAUGUCUAGCUGUAAUUAUUUAUCUCCUCGCCUGUUUAUUUUCAAUCUCCCCUCCUGCCACUGUUCCUGCAGAUUUAAGCUCCAUGGGAGCAGGAAUCUUGUUUCCUCAUUGAACAUUAUGUUCUCAGCUCCUGGAAAAGUGCCUGUUACAGGGCAGAAGCUUUCAAAAGCCUUCAAGGCCAUCUUCAGGCAGGAUGUAAAGAGAGCACUCACUCUGCAGAAGUCGUUAAGAGCCCAUGUGGUAGAAAAAUGAAGCCUCCUUCCAACAGCCAUGCAAGUGAGCUUUGAGGUAAAUCAUUCAGCUCCUAUCAAGUCUUUGGAUUGCCAUCCUGGCUGAGAACUUGACUGCAACUUCGUGAGCCAGAGCUGCCUAGCUAAACUACUCUUGAAUCUGUGAUCCUCAGAAACUGAGUGAGAAAAUGAGUAUUUGCUGGCUUAAGCUUUAAGUUUUGGAGUAAUUUGUUAUGAACAAUAGCCAACUGAUACAAUAUGUAUGUCUGUAUUAUUUUGUUGUUUUGUGAGUGUAAUUCACAUAAGAUAAAACACACAGAUCUGGAGUGUUGGGUUCUGUGAGCUUUGAUCAUUUUAUACAGAUGUGUAACCACUACUCAAAAAAGAUAUACAAUAUUUCCAUCACCCAGAAAAGUCUGUUGUCUCCUUUUCCGACUAAUUCCUACUCUUCUAUCAGAAAAAAACCCACCAUUUUGGUUUCUAACAUGUAGUUUAGUUUAGCCUAUUUUUGAACUUCACAUAAAUGGAUCAUCCAGUAUGCACUGUUUCGUGUCCAGCUCACCAUAAUGUUUUUGAGAUUUAACUGAGUUGUUGUAUAUAGCAGCAAUUUUAUCCUUUUAAUUUUAUUGUUGAUUGGUAUCCUAUUUUAUGAAUAUACCACGAUGUGUUGAUUCAUACUCCUGUUGAUAGGCAUUUGGGUUGUUUCUGGUUUUUUAUUUAUUAUGAACAAGGCUGUGAUCAUUGUAUAAAUCUUUUUGUGGACGUAAGUUCUCAGCACUCAGGUAAAUACCUAGGAUCAGAAAUGCUGGAUAAUAUCAUAAAUGCACAUCUAACAUUAUAAGAAACUGACAAAGAUUUCUUGAAAGAGUUUUUUCAUUUUACACCCCCACCAGCAAUGUAUGGGAGUUCCAGUUACCUGACAUUCUUUGUAACAUUUGUCCUCAUCAGUCUUUUGAUUUUAGUCAUUUGCUGGGAGUGAAAUGGCAUGUCAUUGUGGGUUGGGUUUUUCUGAUGAGCCAUGA